GAGUAACACGUAGGCAACCUGCCCUCAAGUUUGGGACAACUACCGGAAACGGUAGCUAAUACCGAAUAAUUGUUUUCUUCGCCUGAAGGAAACUGGAAAGACGGAGCAAUCUGUCACUUGGGGAUGGGCCUGCGGCGCAUUAGCUAGUUGGUGAGGUAACGGCUCACCAAGGCGACGAUGCGUAGCCGACCUGAGAGGGUGAUCGGCCACACUGGGACUGAGACACGGCCCAGACUCCUACGGGAGGCAGCAGUAGGGAAUCUUCCGCAAUGGGCGAAAGCCUGACGGAGCAAUGCCGCGUGAGUGAUGAAGGUUUUCGGAUCGUAAAGCUCUGUUGCCAGGGAAGAACGCUUGGGAGAGUAACUGCUCUCAAGGUGACGGUACCUGAGAAGAAAGCCCCGGCUAACUACGUGCCAGCAGCCGCGGUAAUACGUAGGGGGCAAGCGUUGUCCGGAAUUAUUGGGCGUAAAGCGCGCGCAGGCGGUCAUUUAAGUCUGGUGUUUAAUCCCGGGGCUCAACCCCGGAUCGCACUGGAAACUGGGUGACUUGAGUGCAGAAGAGGAGAGUGGAAUUCCACGUGUAGCGGUGAAAUGCGUAGAUAUGUGGAGGAACACCAGUGGGCGAAAGGCGACUCUCUGGGCUGUAACUGACGCUGAGGCGC
rnacentral:rRNA from 1 species